rnacentral:rRNA from 1 species
AUGGGAAAAAGAUUCAGAAAAGCUUCAUCCGGCGUGAAAAAAAGCAUCAACCAUGUGAAAAAAAGCUUCCAUGGUGAAAUUCAAAAACCGGAGCCGACUAGAGACGCCGGAAAGCUACGGGACAACGACGAAAGCGAGCUACAAGCGGCUAUGGAAAAAGCUUCAACCGGCCUUAGGACGCUACAAACAUGGCUGAGGAUUCUGGAGCCAGCUGGGAGCAUGCUACAACGAGGUCUGACGAUGCUAGAAACUGGCCAGCAGGUGCUACAAACCAUGGCCGGAUUUUUGCUGGAGCCGACUAUUGGGAAGCUGCAACCAUGGAUUGGAUGUGCUGGAACCAAUACGUGGGGAUGCUACGACCAUGAAUUGUAUUUUGCUAGAGCCGGCUGCAGGAGGAGACCAAGAGUACUGUGA